GUGAGGAAUAUUGCGCAAUGGAGGCAACUCUGACGCAGCCAUGCCGCGUGCAGGAAGAAGGCGCUACGCGUUGUAAACUGCUUUUAACCGGGAAGAAACCCCAGGACGUGUCCUGGGUUGACGGUACCGGAGGAAUAAGCACCGGCUAACUUCGUGUCAGCAGCCGCGGUAAUACGAAGGGUGCAAGCGUUAUCCGGAUUCAUUGGGUUUAAAGGGUGCGUAGGCGGAGCGUUAAGUCAGUGGUGAAAUCCUGCAGCUUAACUGUAGACUUGCCAUUGAUACUGGCGCUCUUGAGUGCGCUUGAAGUGGGCGGAAUGUGCCGUGUAGCGGUGAAAUGCUUAGAUAUGGCACAGAACACCAAUUGCGAAGGCAGCUCACUAAGGCGAUACUGACGCUGAGGCACGAAAGCGUGGGGAUCGAACAGGAUUAGAAACCCUAGUAGUCC
rnacentral:rRNA from 1 species